GAGCCGAUAGCUCAGUGGUAGAGCGGGAAGCUUAUACCUUCCUGGUCGCAGGUUCGAGUCCUGCUCGGCUCA
rnacentral:tRNA from 1 species